UUCUCCAUGUUGUUCAGGGUGGUCUCAAACUCCCGACCUCAGGUGAUCUGCCCACCUCAGCCUCCCAAAGUACUGAGUUUACAGGCAUGAGCCACCAUGCCUGGCCAAUCAGCAGCUUUAAGAACAGAGCAUCUCAGGAGGUCCAACCAGAUCUCUGUCCACCAGGUUACCAGAAGGAUGAUCCUCAGAGGCUCUUUUGGGAAAGUUUGUAAAUUCCAUGGUGGUUUGAUGGUGUGAGACACUGACUUUAGCUAUAUGCUCAGGAGCUGCUGCAAACAGCAUGCAGGGAGUAGGCAGAUAUUCUGCCCCUCUUGACACGUAGGAGGAAGAUAGAGUGUUGCAAUGGCAUUUGGAAGCUUUCAUUUUCUUUUCAGAAUUGUUCACCAGAUCCUUAUCAGGUAGAAGACUAAUAAGAGCAUGAACAGUGAAGGGUACCUGAGGCUUACCCUUUCCCUGAGGCUAAAACCAGCAAAGGAAACCAUUAGCCAGCCACUUUUGUCAGGCACUUCCUUUGUGCAGAGAACUUGCUGUGCUGUGUGCCUUAUGGGGGGAGGAUAAACAGCUGGGAGGAGGGGCCCCCUUCAGAGCGUCCCUUGGGCUGUAUGAGAGGGCAACACUGAGGCCCUCACCAUCACUUGCAAGAAAUCACCGACUGGCAUUUGCAAAACAAAAGGUAAAUGAACAUGUACAUUGGCAUUCCGUGUAUAAGAUGAUUGUCACCAGAGUCAGGUGUGGCCAACUAGAGAAGUUGCUAAGAAUGAGGUUUUUGAAGAAACUGUUGAAGCCAGACCUUUAUUCGGCAUCGUCUUGUUCCCUGCUGCGUCAGCUUGCUCCGCUCCUUUCUUCCCUGCCUCUGUUCAGAGCACCAUGAGUGCCCCCUCCAUCCCCCCACCCAGGCACGCACCAGGGACUUGGAAGCCAUGCUAGAUGUUCACCUCCCUCCUUCCUCCAAAUCCACCCCAAAUUCUACCCCCUCCAUUCUCUCCAUUGUGGCCAAUAAUGCCCAAGGCUUCCGGUGACUCCAUGUCACCCUCAGGAUAGAGUUCCAGCCCUCCUCAGCCCUCUGUGCCUCUUUCGUCUUUACCCCCUACCCUCAAAUGUUUGUGGCUUUUAUACCUCUGUUCCCUCUAUUUUCUUGAUUGGAAUGCCUAAUGACUCUGAGUGGAAAACUCCUAUGCACUCUUUUUUUUUUUUUUUUUUUUGAGAUAGAGUCUCUCUCUGUCGCCCAGGCUGGAGUGCAGUUGCAUGAUCUCAGCUCUCUGCAACCUCUAUCUCCUGGUACUCAAAUAUGAAUGUAAGAAGUGGUGCUCAACAAGCAUCAGGAAAUCUGGCUCCUGAUGAAGACAGGAGUUGGUGAACAUCUGCAAGCUUGGAAGGCUGCCAGCCGACACCUUCACUGGAAUGCAAACUCCCCCCUCCUCCCUGUUCAGCCUCAGUGCCUGUGGCCAGCUGCAGAGCCCUCUUCCCUUGCCAUGUUUAGUCCUCAGCAGUAUAUGCAGAAGCUGGUGUGUUACUGACCAGAGUAAUGCGGUGUUAUUGCAAGACUGGUAUUUGUAUUCUCAAUCAAUUUCCUUUAGAAGGAGAUUCAUUUAACACUUUAGAGGGGGGUUGAUUUUUAUGAUGGAGCUGGGAAAAUGAAAAGAUACAUAUUUAAUUUUUAUGUUUUUAAUUAACAACUAAAAAUUGUAUAUGUUGAUCAUGUACAAUGUGUUGUUUUGCAAUAUGUAUAGGCUUACUUUAGAGAAUUGUGGUUGCGGUUCCAGGCCACUGCAAUAAAGCAAAUAUCACAAUAAAGCAAGUCACAUACAUUUUUAUAUUUCCCAGUGCAUGUAAAAGUUAUGUAUACACUGUAAUCUGUUAAUGCAGUAGUAUGAUGUCUAAAAAACAAUGUACAUACUUUCAUUAAAAUAUCUUUUUAUUUUUUAA